CCAUUGAAGAUGGCCCAGUGCCCUGGGGCUCCUGUUUUAUCUCUACACUGAGGAGGAACAGUUUUCUGAGAAUCCUGUGGUAGGCAGUCAGCUAGAGGAUGUCUCCGGAAGAACCCUGGCCUGCUAGGAGCUGCCAAUACCAGCAUCCUUUUCUUCGUGUUUCCAGUGGGACCAGGUUCUCCGGAUAGUAAAAAAAGGAAAGGACAAAUCGUUUGUAGAACAAAGUAUGCCUCGAGUCUCUGGAGGGGAAGACACUGUUUGUGACCGCUCUUCUGACAGCUGCGUUCUUACACAGGGUUCCUGGAAGCUGACCAAAAUCUGCUCAGUAAUAUUAAUUCCACUUAAAAAAGGGAAGGGAGCAUAUUGAGCUACACGCACUUACGGUCUGGGUGCUUGGAGAGAAUCAGUUGAUGUCGAGAAACUGCAAUUCCUAUUAAGAGCAUUUGACUGUUUACUCGGCACGGAACUUCAGCCCCAGCCUGCAUCAAUCUAAAUGCGUUUCGAGACGUCAGGCCCCCGAAAAGUGCAGACGAUCACAAAACUGAGACUCAGAAAGACUGACCUGAUGCCAAACCCAGUGUGUUAAAGAGACCAGGCAGACCUGAAGGUAGACCUGCCAAUCCAUGUAGACUUCUGCUGUGUUUCUGUCUUUGGGUGAGAACAGAGUGAAGCGUGGAGACAGCAGAGCAGCCUGGGCCAGGCCUGGAUGCUGGAAUCAGGCGGGCCCGGUUCUGGACUAACCUCUCAAGCAGCUUCAGGAAAAUGAUCUCCAGUGCCUGAAGGAUAUUUCAUACAAAGGCAAGAAGGCAGAGGAUCAGACCAGAGGAGAAGGAAAAAGAAAGCAGAACCGAGGUCCUAGGGGAGGGCCUUUCCAGAUUGGUUUCUAGUGAACUGAAUAUUAAAAAGAUAUUACAGAGAGAAACAAUGCGCCUGGCUGAUUGUUUCUUCCCCAAAUGGAUACCAUGAUGAGCGAACACUGUCAUUUAUAUUAACAAUCAGUUGAAAGGCCUGGGCUACAUGUGAGAAUUCAUAUUUGCUGAUAACCUGAUUGUAAUCAUCAAUAACAAUAUUUUUAUUCUGGGUAAUAAACAUCAUUAUCCAGUGUGUUGUAGACCCUGUGGCGUGGACCAGGAAGGCUUUUGAUUCACAGCACCUGUGAAUGAAAUGUAGCAGAGCAGAACAAUGCCCUUCACUCUCCAAGUGCACGUAGAGGAGCGAAGGUGCCCUGCACUGCCCGAGGCGAGCCUAUGGUCUGCUGGAUGAGGACACCUGUGGACAGGCCGUGCAGCCCACAUGGCCAGUGUCAGUGCCAAGAAGAAACCCAACCGAUGCAAACUCCAGAAGUCUCUCUGACAAAACAGAGUGGAUAGAGAGGAGCAAUGAAGCUGCAACUGAUUUCUCUUUAUUUAAGUUUUAUCCCCUUGGAAUCAAGAUUUUGUAUUUUCCUUUUGAACAACUAGAAUCUGCCAUUUCUCUGCAUUUAUCCUGCAAAAUGAAAGGGUAUUUGCUAUACCACUGAUAAUCAUAGCACCUUUGGUCUUAAAAACACAUUCACUAGUACACUUUCUAUUCAUGUGCUCUUAGCUCACUCUAGAAAAGAUUAGCAAUUUUUGGUUGGAGGAAUUAAUGCCCAGAGCUUGGCAUCAGCUGACUUCUUCACAGUCAGGUGGCUGGAGAGGGUCAAAUACAGAAAAGGGCACCAUGUUUGUGUGCUGUGAUGCAACAACAAGCUGUGCCUACUGUGUACCCACUUAAUAACGACACCGGUGAUGCCCUUCUCCACCUGAAAAGUGAAAUCCAGCUUGGAGAGACUGCGGUAAGGUAAGGCCAUGGCUCACCUUAGGAGUCGAGGGCUCCAGAGGACCGCAGUGCGUGGAAUCAGAGAAGGCAUCUUCUGUUUGGCCUGGCCUCUGUCUGACCUGUACUGACUAUGAGAUCUUGCCUGGCUUGCUGCUUCUUUCUGGUUUCAGUUUCUUCAUCUGCAGGCAAAAAGAGCCCAACGGCAGUGUAAGGAUGAUAUUAAACGAGGAGACAUUUGCAAAUAUAAGGGAAUUACAGUCCACCAUGUAAUAGGUACAUUGUAAGGGCCUUACUUCUCUCCUCCCUGGAGUGAGCUGACUUCGCUUCACCAUUGCUGGACACAUCUGGAAAUGGAGACGGAGGCUGUAGAAUAUGGGAAGACGGCCUGGUGUGUUAUCUGCCCUUUGCACACACAACUGGACUGCGAUAUUUGCUUGGAGCCAUAUUGCACUGCGUGUCUUUUCUGUGGGCCCUCCUGCUCUUCCCUCUCUGGCCUGGUGAAGAAAAGCAUCGUGAGUCGGAAAGUCCCCCUUAAACAAGAAUAAACUUCAGUUAUGCUCA